CUACAGUUCCGGUUUCUAGGUUAUCUUCACCUACAUCUUCCAGUCAUUACCACCACUAAUAUCUUUGUUCUCCCUUCAAUCGCAUGAUAUUGGCAAGAUGAUGCUCUGAUUUGGAGUGAAUUAGGGUACAAUCAAGGGGACCAUAUCUGCGAUUACCUACCGUGCGUCACCACUACCAACAUUCAAUGGAGGCGAUGGUGUUUUCUCAAGAUUCUAGGGUUCACGAUGCUCCUGGCCGGUUCUGGUAGGACGCUAGGGUUCCGGCCACUUUCCGGUAAAUCAGAUGCGUUUCCGAUGAACCAAACGCCGGCCCGAAUAUAUGCGAGAAUAUAUAAGGCGCAAAGGAAAACAGACGGAACGACGUUUGUUGUUAAAUGUAAGGAGCUGAGUACUCAGUUAUGCUAUGUCUUUUGGUUCAAAAAUGUCAACUGACGAAAUAUUAUUUAUGAUACAAAUGUAUUUAGUCAUGCUAUUCCCUUUACUGUUGACAAUCGCGAAUAGUAUGAGAUAGUAGUUACCACUUACCAGGUAAGCUUAUGAUUUAA